AGCUUUCUGUAUUCGUCCCGAAACUUCAUCUGACACUAACCCAUCUGGGGUGAUGAGUCUUACAAGAUAAGUGAAGUG
rfam:Schistosoma mansoni strain Puerto Rico chromosome 6, complete genome